UUUAUUUCAUUUUUUUUUUUUAGAAAUGGGGUCUUGCUAUGUUGCCCAGGCUGGAGUGCAGUGGCUCUUCACAGGUGCCAUCAUAGCCCAUGACUGCUCCGAAUUCCUGGCCUCAAGUGAUCCUCCUGCCUCAGUCUUACAAGUAGCUGGGACUACAGACAUGCACCAUCAUCAUGUCCAGAGAGCAUUUGAGGUUGAUGAGUUCUGAUGACUGUGACCUGAGGCUUCACAGGCCAAAGGGAAAGAUGACUGAAGCCGAUGUUUACUCCCUCCCUCCCUCCACCUGAUUUCACAAAGGGAAUAACCUUUACUAAAAGUUUGCAGAUUACACUCCUCUUCCCACUGGGAUCCCAUUCUCUAGCUGAGUGACUCAGGACACAUCUUUGAAUGAAAGAGAGGGAAAUGACUGAGAAAAAGCAUGAGGGGCGAGGAGCCUUUGGAUUGACCUGUUUCCCCAGUCAAAUGGCCUCAGCAAAAGUGUCUGUAUGAAAAUGAACAAGCA